rnacentral:sRNA from 2 species
UAGCUCAGUUGGUAGAGCAGUUGACUUUUAAUCAAUUGGUCGCAGGUUCGAAUCCUGCACGACCCACCAUCUUUAACAUCGAACGUCGGUGUUAAACGUGAAGGAUAACGUUGCUUCAGCUACGGCCCGAAGGGCAAGCGAAGCGAGUCAUCCUGCACUCCAAUCA